GAUGAACGCUGGCGGCGUGCGUAACACAUGCAAGUUGAACGACGGUGCCAUGAAGUGGUAACACGGAGUGGUAUACGGAGUAGCGGACGGGUGAGUAAAGCAUGAGAAUCUGUCCUGUCGAGGGGGAUAACGUUCGGAAACGGACCCUAAUACCCCAUAGUCCGAGAGGUUAAAGGCAGCGAUGCGCGGCAGGAGGAGCUCGUGUCCUAUCAGCUGGUUGGUGAGGUAACGGCUCACCAAGGCUUCGACGGGUAGCCGGCCUGAGAGGGUGACCGGCCACACUGGAACUGAGAAACGGUCCAGACUCCUACGGGAGGCAGCAGUGGGGAAUAUUGGGCAAUGGGAGGAAUCCUGACCCAGCGACGCCCGCGUGAACGAAGACGGCCUUCGGGUUGUAAAGUUUUCUUUUUAUGUGGGAAGAAG
rnacentral:rRNA from 1 species